rnacentral:rRNA from 1 species
AUACGGAGGGUGCAAGCGUUAAUCGGAAUUACUGGGCGUAAAGCGUACGUAGGCGGUUCGUUAAGUUAGAUGUGAAAGCCCCGGACUUAACCUGGGAACUGCAUUUAAAACUGGCGAACUAGAGUUGAGUAGAGGGGAGUGGAAUUUCAGGUGUAGCGGUGAAAUGCGUAGAGAUCUGAAGGAACACCAGUGGCGAAGGCGACUCCCUGGACUCGAACUGACGCUGAGGUACGAAAGCGUGGGUAGCAAACGGGAUUAGAUACCCUAGUAGUCC